rnacentral:rRNA from 1 species
UACGGGGGGGGCAAGCGUUGUUCGGAAUUACUGGGCGUAAAGGGCGCGUAGGCGGCCUGCUAAGUCGAACGUGAAAUCCCCGGGCUCAACCCGGGAACUGCGUCCGAUACUGGCAGGCUUGAAUCCGGGAGAGGGAUGCGGAAUUCCAGGUGUAGCGGUGAAAUGCGUAGAUAUCUGGAGGAAUACCGGUGGCGAAGGCGGCAUCCUGGACCGGCAUUGACGCUCAUGCACGAAAGCGUGGGGAGCAAACAGG